rnacentral:rRNA from 1 species
CAAUAGCGUAUAUUAAAGUUGUUGCAGUUAAAAAGCUCGUAGUUGGAUUUCUGCUGAGGACGAUCGGUCCGCCCACUGGGUGAGUAUCUGGCUCGGCCUUGGCAUCUUCUUGGAGAACGUUGCUGCACUUGACUGUGUGGCGCGGUAUCCAGGACUUUUACUUUGAGGAAAUUAGAGUGUUUCAAGCAGGCGCACGCCUUGAAUACAUUAGCAUGGAAUAAUGAGAUAGGACCUUGGUUCUAUUUUGUUGGUUUCUAGAGCUGAGGUAAUGAUUAAUAGGGAUAGUUGGGGGCAUUCGUAUUUAACUGUCAGAAGUGAAAUUCUUGGAUUUGUUAAAGACGGACUACUGCGAAAGCAUUUGCCAAGGAUGUUUUCAUUGA